ensembl:lncRNA
UAAUGUAAGAAAAUGGUUUUAUUCCUAAUUUUUAGUUCCAUACAGUUUACAAAUACACUUUUACUCUGAUAAUAUGGCUUUGCAACUAGCAAAGCAGUUGAACUAACACCCAUAAAUACAGGUGGCAAAACAAUUAACAUCCCCUAAUGUUUCUCUACAUGAACUAUCCUUUUAAUGUCAUUUUCUAAAAAACAACUGCAAAUAGACUACAUAAUAUAUGUGGGCAAAAGGCAAUUAAGUGAAUCUCUUGAAACACUACAUGUAUAAUAAACAGCAUAUUAUCAACAUUUACAUGAUUCACAUCAAAAUGAUGACAUCCUAAAACGUAUUCCUUUUAAAGGAUAGAUUUAUCAAUAAAAUAUUACAUAUCUUUUAAUACUCUGGUACAAUACUUCAUACACUGCAGGAAAAUUAAAUGUAGGUGUAGUCAUCAGCUUAAUAAAGGGUCCUUUUCCAUUAGCUUUUAUUAAUGAAAGAAUUACAAUUAGGUCAUAAAUAAACAGGCAAAUUAUUAAUUACAUGAUUUGAGGUUUAGGAUGAAAACUUGUAAAAAUUAGUUUGAUAUACAGUAAAGUUAUACAACACACUAAAACCAACAGUUUGAUAUUUUUGCCUUGUGUGAACUGCCCAUAGUGAACAAAGGAAUAAACUUUUUAGUGAUGGAAGAUACAAUAACUAUGUUUGGGAACUUAUUUUUCAAGAGGAAGAAGGAAAAAGAUUUCAACAAAAUUAAGGGCUAACAGAUCCUAAGAAAGACCUCUUCAAAUCAGGGUGGCUCAUGUGCUUGCUAUCUCAAACUUUAUUCCCCUGCCAACAUACAGAAGACAGGACCUGCAGUGGGCUUGCAUUUAUUUCUACAGUCUAAGCAUCUCUGGACGAUGAUUAAUCUACAACAAAACACUUCACAGCUGCAUCCCUUUCCAUAUUCCCCUGACCUAGAACAACCCCAGAUGUAUUAGCUCUUAAAAUCCCCAGUAAAAUAACCCCUAAAAAUAAUCUCGACCAUUUGCUUGGCUGUUAUAAAGCAGCUAGGCUCUGUAAAGAAUGCAAGGAUAUCAAGAGAAGUCCUACACAGUUUCCCACCCCAUUUCGCCAUGUUGGAAAAGUCAUUAAUUUCAAUGAGGCCCACAAACUGGAUAUGAGGGGCCUUUUAAAAACAACAACAAAAAAGCUAGUAAGACUCUUGAAAUCUGGCUUUAAAAAAACACCUCAAUGCCACAUGCCAGAUAAUUUCUUCACCCCAGAUAUAAAAAUCCUAGGCUUUUAAUUAUAAAAUAGUCAGCCAGCUAUGGGAUAUUAUCCAUAUUUAAUAUCCACCAACAACCCAGAGUAGAUUCCACAUGGGCACCAAGUACACCUGUUUUCCAGGUAACCUGAUUCACCUCCUACUGACUACUCAGGCCCUGGGCCCUUUGACAUCCUCAUGAACCAUCUCUUUGGAACUUUCAUUUUCAUUCUUGAUUCGACCCCACAUCUUGAGCUAUCCCCAUCUUCCCAGCCCCACUGUCUGAUUCUCCCACAUGUAGAGCGACCACACCUGAAAACCCACCACCACCUUUACCACAAGACAGACCCAGCGACCUGGACACUAUUGUGAAUCUGGUCCUGGCAUCAGUUUAUAUAACAACAGGAUGGUUUGCUGACCCUGUGGAGGGAAACCAAAGUGAAAUCAAUGUGCUGCAACAAAGCUUGCCAAGAUCAGGUAUUUCCAUUCUGAGUGCAAAAAUCACUGAUCACCGGCUCCAGGCAUAUUUGUUUGUACAAUCAAACCCUGUAUGCUGGUGAAAGACUUUGCCCCUGAAGUCCAGAGUCAAAGCAUUACCACAAAAUCAAAAAUGAUUCAAUGUGACAAUGCAGUAAAAAGAACAGGAUGCAGGAUCCUGGCUGCAAACACUGAACUGGAAUCUCUUUUUUUGUAGGCUUGACAAGAAGACAGGAGUCAUUACCUCCCCCUAAUAAGGUGGCACCUGGAGGCCACACUUGUGCUCCGAAACAAUUCUGCCUUCCAUGCAAGAAUCGAUGCACAUUUUAUCUAUGACAAUGGCAGUCACUGCACCCCCCAGCUACCCAGGCUUUCCAGAGAGUGGAAGGUGGGGAAAAGGAGUCCUUCUGUCAGGAGCCAAAGCAAGAAGAAUCUGAGUAAGGACACAGAGCACAUUAUUAUCAUUACAAAAGCCAGCCCAUAAUGUUUUCACUGAAAUACUCUCACUGAAUGAUUCAACAGGAGGCAAAGAGGGAUAUCUUCGGAGAAGGCACUUAAGGUAGAACACUAGCAAAUCCUACUGCUUCCAAAAAAAUGGGCUCAUUCAAUCUGACAAGAGGCCUGGUCCCAACUGCUCCUCGCUGUGUUGACUGUGCAUGUGGGCAAGGCCUGACUAACAACCAGGGUGUUGAGAAAGCAUCACCCUGGCCAAGGGCUGCAGGUGUUGCAAAGAUGGGGUGGCUCUGCUUUCAAAUGCUGUCCCCUUACACAUUCAUCCUUCCCAGACCAGUUUCCCCAAGUGAUAGCUCACAAAGUAUGUGCAGGCCUGUCAGAAUUGGCUCAGAAGCUUCUGGAAGGCCCUCUAUCUAUUUCUCAUCUGACACGCAGCUUCGACCAGUUACUGCGAGCAGCUUCAGCUUCACACAGUCGCAGCUGCCUCUGCUUGCAUUCACUAGAGCUGUUUCCAUGGCACUGGCUGUGAGUGCCCGUCAGACCCCUGGCCCCCAUGAGCUUCACCUCCACCGCACACCUUCUUCAUGAGGCUUGUGUCAUUGAUGGAGGGCAAAGGAGGGGGCUACAGCAGGCCUAGGCUUAUGUCUGAAGAGGGCCUAGCCACCUCUGCCGUGUAAAAGGCUUCACUCUCACCCGGCAGGUGAUGCAGAGACCACAUGGAGGAGAGACCCUGAGGACUCCAGCCAUCCCAGUGUCUCAGCCCACCUACCAGCCACAUGAGUGACCAUGUGCCAAGAGAGAAGAGCAGCUCCACUGAGCCCAGCUUGGGCCAAUGAAUGGGGGCAGGGGGUCAGCAACACUGGAAAAACAAGACCCUGCUCAUCAAGAUGCCUGUUUUCCAAACCCAAGACAAUUACUCAAAUGCAAAGAAAACAUGGCACCCGUUUCCCAUCACAACUCUCUCUCAACAGCUGAGGGGUAGUUGGUCAUCUGCUAAGAAAACAUACCUGUUAUCCUGCUUCAUCCAUCUCCAUGAUUUAUUCCCCAUGACUUUUUAAUGCCAGAAUGGCAAUACAAAGGCAGACAGUCAUGAUACACUGGCCUCAUGACCAUUUAGCCAAAAACAAAAAAGGAAGCCACCAAAGUGAAUUGUCUACUGCUAAGUGCUGUGGUUAAAUGUGUCCCCAAAGUACACGCAUUUGAGACGAAACCCCCAAUGCCACAGUGCGGAGAAGUGGGGGCUGUCAGGGGAGAUUAGGUGGAGGAUUCAGCCACAACAAUGGGUCAACAUUGUCUCGGGGGUGGCUAUAAAGCGAGCCCUCAAGCUCUCUUCUCUCCAUGACGCUUUCAGCCAAGUUAUAAUGCAGCUAGAGGCCCUCAUGAGACAUGGCCUCUUGACCUUGGGCCUUCUAGCCUCUAGAACUAUCAGAAAUAAAUCUGUUCAUUAUAAAUUAUGCACUCUAUGCUAUUCUGUUAGGCAAUACAAAACAGAUUAAGACAAUAAGCGAUGGAAAAUAAAAUCAUUCUCACUUCUCAAGGAUGUUGUUACUUAAUUUUUCUAAAUCAUUUCUUUUUUUCAAGUGCCUCUAUCAUCCCGACAAAAAGAAAAAACUUAAAAUGGCUAAGGUUAUUAAAAGAAAAAAGAAAUUUCUCAUAACUAGAAUUUGAAUCCCCAUAAUCUGUAAAAUACAGAGCACAGUUUAACUGCUUCAAUUUAAAACAAAAUUCUAUAAAAUGUAACAUUUUCUACAUUGUAGAGAUGAUUUCUUCUUAUCUGAGGAAAUGCUGAAUUAGAAUACAAUGGUCUUUAAAUGGUUUCAAAUUUUGCUUAUCAAAAAGUAGUCAGCCACAAUGUUCCAAAUCCAAAUUCAUUCUUCUCAUAAGGUCUCUUGCACAUCUGUUCUUCAUCUUUUUUGGAGGAAAGGUGAAAGUCCACA